ACUUUCAGAAUGGAGUUAAUGUGUUUAGGGAAUAAAAUGACACACAGACAGAAGCAUUCCAGCGUCAGAAUUAUUUAUCCCUCAGCUAAGUCUCAUUUUCUUUACCCGCGAACCAUCUCCUAUAGCCUUCGCUCCCACUAACCCCCACCCUCAGGUCUGAGAAAUUGGCACAAUCUGGUCUAACCAGCAGAUAAAGUCGUAAAUUAACGAACUGCUUUUACGGCAAGCGUUCCCUUUUGCAACAAAAAAAACCAAACGCGAAGUUCGUGGUAUUGGGGGGGGGGUGCUUUUAAUUUAUCUAUAAACAUAUAUUUCUUUACAAAAGAAAAAGGCAAGGAUUCAGAAAUGUUCGCGUUAAACCCACCAGGAGUCCCGGUCAGCAAGACCCGAGAACAGGCCGGUGAAUUAAGCGAGACACGACAAGAAAAUUCGUGCGAAAAGAUCUUCAAGAGGAAAAAAAAACACUGCCUUACCAGACAUUCUAGGAUUUAUAAUUGCCAGCUUGCUUCAAGAGAGAUGCUUUGAGUGGCUCCAGCAAUGAAUCUUUCUCUUCAGAUUUGUUGAUCAGAAUGCAAUAUUUUAAAAAUUGAGACAAUGUGCUAAGUGCAGCACUGAAAUUUGAACAAUACACAAUCACAAUUAUUGCACUAUACCUUGGGAUAUAACUUAGAGUUUUGCAGCACUCAUGCCGACCUUUUUAAAACCUCUACAAUCCAAUGAUUUGACAAUGAAUGAUUGCGCGAUACUUUCAAUUUGAAUAUUCAAAGCCCAGACAAAAAGAGGGCUCUCUUUUUGAAACACUGUGCUUCUCCAUCUAUUAAAGACUCCCAUGGAAUAAAAUUCAGUAGAAAGUAUGCAACUUUAUGCAGGAUUGUGCACAUUUUUGUGAUUUUAGCAAGCUUUGACGAGUGGGGCCAGAGAGACUCAAACAUGUCCAUAAUUUUUGUCCUGCCUGCACAGUUUUGCCCCAAACCCCUGCCAACUCCACAUCCACGUUUGCCAGCGAUGCACUGCAGCCAGGGGUACACUUUAUAUCGAUGUUUUAUCGUGAAAAGUGGUAUUUGUCCACAAUUUGGUACCAAACAUGGCAGAUUGUGGGCGUGGCAUAGAGUAGUCCUUUAACCAAGUAUGGACUGAGAAUUAAUACAGCAAACUGUUGCUCUCUAGCUACACUCUACAUCUAUUGCACUUUUACAGAAUUCUGGGGAAUAAGAAUUGUUUGUCAGGAAAUUAUUUAAUUAGAAGUGGUGAAGAUUUCUUCCUCGCAAUGAUCCUGUGACAUUCUCACCCGUCUGAGACAUCUUUGGGCUUUUAAUUCAUUCUGAUUUUCUAACGGUUUAACUGCAUUACAAACAACGUAGACCUUUCCAGCGAAUUCCAAUGCAACCGAACAUCGUCCUUCAGACACCGGGAGCGAGAUUCUUCUGUCACAGUGUCUGCCAUCGUUGUUUUUAAUUUUGUUAUGGUGCAUAAUUAAUAAAGCAAUUCUGUUUAUUUUUAUUUCUUCCCAA